UCGGAGUCCCCGCAGGAGCGGGUCCAUGUACUAUUCUGCGAAAGGAGGAAGGCUCCGGAGCUGAAGAGCCUCCCAAACGCUGAGCCAUCUCUGGCAAUGUCUAUGUCAACCUCAUUAUCAAUGUGUACAUCCCUGGAAGGUAUACUGCCAAGGUGUCUGGCAACAUCGAUGAAAACAUCAUGCUAAAAAGUAUGGGAGCAAGCACACAGCUCCAUUGGUGACUGGGAAAGCACGAGAGCAUUGCCCAUUAUCCAAAACCUAUGCAAGCAUGCUGUCAUGAAAUUGACCUACAGUACUGCUGAACUCUGAGCAACCAAAUUUUGCUAUGAUCUUCCACAAGCUCUCACAACUGAUGGUAUCAAAGGCCUUGGCAAGAUCAACGAAUGUUGUUUCCAGACCUCUCUCUGUUCUGCUGCUGGCACAUCUUCUGGAGUUGUUGGGCAGCAAACACCAUAUUGACCAUUCCUUGCCCUUUCUGAAGCCGCACUAGCUCUCAGGUAGAUGCCUAUUUUCCAGGCGAAGGAUCAGCCUAGGAAGGAGGAUUCUGACUAGAAUGUUCCUGGCAAUGACUAAGAGAGAGAACCUACUGUGAUUGUCACAGGACAAUGUAUUUACUUUACCUUUAUAAAGAUGGACAAUGGAGGCAUCCUUGAACUCCUGGGGGUGGGGGGAUAACCUUCUCUUGCCAUCUAACCUGGAACAUUUCAGUCAACUUUUGUAUGAUCAGUGGACCCCUUGCCUUGGAAAUCUCAGCUGGAAUAGAAUCAGUACCAGGCACUUUGCCACAUAGAGGAACCUAAUGGCAUUCAAAACCUCUUCUUCAGUUGAAAGUUCUGCUAGAAAGGGAUUGACUUCAACCUGAGGUCUAAAGUCAAUGGUUUCAGCAUUGAUUGAUGACAGUCUGUUGAGAAAACUAGUAAGUCUUCAGUCCAUCUCUCCAGGAUUAUGUCCUUAUCACUAAUCGAUGUGGCUCCAUUAGCACUGAGUAGCUGAGAUGCACCAUAGAUCUCUGGCCCAUAAAUAGCCUCCAGGCAAUUAGGUAAUGCAGGGGAAGGCACUACCUAGCAGUAGGGAGCAGCAGGAAAGGCCUCACAUACAAACUGGCACUUAACUGAGCUUUGAAGGAAGCUAGGGAUUCUAAGAUAAGGGGAGAGCCCCUGUAGAGGUACUGAGGUGGGAAAUGGUGUGUAGUACAGUCAGACCAGUUUCUCUGAUUAGAAGAAUGUAUGAAGGAGAAUAAUGUGUAAUAAAGCUAAAAAAAUAGAAUGAAACCAAAUGGUGAAGGGCUUUCAAGAGAUGUAUCUGACUUAUAGAGGGAGUCACUGGAAUUUAUUGAGCAAGGCAUGACCUGGUCAAACCUGCACUUUGGGACAGCUAGGUGGU